GACGAACGCUGGCGGCACGCUUAACACAUGCAAGUCGAACGAGAGAAGAGAAGCUUGCUUUUCUGAUCUAGUGGCGGACGGGUGAGUAACACGUGAGCAAUCUGCCUUUCAGAGGGGGAUACCGAUUGGAAACGAUCGUUAAUACCGCAUAACAUAAUUGAACCGCAUGAUUUGAUUAUCAAAGAUUUAUCGCUGAAAGAUGAGCUCGCGUCUGAUUAGCUAGUUGGUAAGGUAACGGCUUACCAAGGCGACGAUCAGUAGCCGGACUGAGAGGUUGAUCGGCCACAUUGGGACUGAGACACGGCCCAGACUCCUACGGGAGGCAGCAGUGGGGAAUAUUGCACAAUGGAGGAAACUCUGAUGCAGCGAUGCCGCGUGAGGGAAGAAGGUUUUAGGAUUGUAAACCUCUGUCUUCAGGGACGAAAAAUGACGGUACCUGAGGAGGAAGCUCCGGCUAACUACGUGCCAGCAGCCGCGGUAAUACGUAGGGAGCGAGCGUUGUCCGGAAUUACUGGGUGUAAAGGGAGCGUAGGCGGGAUCGCAAGUCAGAUGUGAAAACUAUGGGCUUAACCCAUAAACUGCAUUUGAAACUGUGGUUCUUGAGUGAAGUAGAGGUAAGCGGAAUUCCUAGUGUAGCGGUGAAAUGCGUAGAUAUUAGGAGGAACAUCAGUGGCGAAGGCGGCUUACUGGGCUUUAACUGACGCUGAGGCUCGAAAGCGUGGGGAGCAAACAGGAUUAGAUACCCUGGUAGUCCACGCCGUAAACGA
rnacentral:rRNA from 1 species